rnacentral:lncRNA from 1 species
GGACCACCUCCUCCAGAAGACUUUCCAGAAAUUGCCUACUGUGUCUCCUCUCUGAGCUUCCCACGGCUCUCAGACAUCCACACACAGCAGGCUUUCCCUUCCAGCUUCCUUCUCUCUUCCUGGUCUGUGAGUCCCAGCUUCCCCAGGGAGCUGUGAGCCUCAUCUAUCCCAGACUCCCCGCAGGAGCAGGCACCCCACUGGGCUCAAGAGAUUUAGGACAUCGUGACUG